rnacentral:rRNA from 1 species
UGGGGAAUAUUGGACAAUGGGCGAAAGCCUGAUCCAGCCAUGCCGCGUGAGUGAUGAAGGCCUUAGGGUUGUAAUGCUCUUUUAGCGGGGAAGAUAAUGACGGUACCCGCAGAAUAAGCCCCGGCUAACUUCGUGCCAGCAGCCGCGGUAAUACGAAGGGGGCUAGCGUUGUUCGGAAUUACUGGGCGUAAAGCGCACGUAGGCGGAUUGACAAGUCAGGGGUGAAAUCCCGGGGCUCAACCUCGGAACU